AUGUCGCCCCUGGGUUAUAGUGCCCUCUCGUGGGCGAUCGACAUCCUCCCAGUGGCGCCGCUCCUCACCCAGGUUGUGCACCACCUCAACUGUGGCCAGUACCAGUCGCUCAUCCUCAUCAUCGUGAUGUCGUUUGACUCCUUCUUCUGCCUGCUCACUGGCUUCUUCAAGACGGUCUGGGUGUUCCUGUUCUACAUCCUCUUCAUCACUGCAUCCAUUAUCAUUGCUGAGGCGGUGCACACCCGCAACCUCGGGCCGAUGAUCCGCGGCCUCUCCACUCACGACUCGGGCAAGCACCUUGUCUUGCACUGCGCGCUGCCAGCAGCCAGCUCAGCCUCUACUGCACCGCCAUUGGCGGCAUCAGCGCGACCCUCAUGGCUAUGUUCAUGUACCACAUGCUGA
rnacentral:rRNA from 1 species